rnacentral:rRNA from 1 species
UACGUAGGGUGCAAGCGUUAAUCGGAAUUACUGGGCGUAAAGCGUGCGCAGGCGGUUUUGUAAGUUUGUCGUGAAAUCCCCCGGGCUCAACCUGGGAAUGGCGAUGAAGACUGCAAGGCUAGAAUCUGGCAGAGGGGGGGUAGAAUUCCACGUGUAGCAGUGAAAUGCGUAGAGAUGUGGAGGAACACCGAUGGCGAAGGCAGCCCCCUGGGUCAAGAUUGACGCUCAUGCA